rnacentral:rRNA from 1 species
ACGGGAGCAAUCCUGGUGGCGAGUGGCGAACGGGUGAGUAAUAUAUCGGAACGUGCCCAGUCGUGGGGGAUAACGCAGCGAAAGCUGUGCUAAUACCGCAUACGAUCUCUGGAUGAAAGCGGGGGACCUUCGGGCCUCGCGCGAUUGGAGCGGCCGAUAUCAGAUUAGCUAGUUGGCGGGGUAAAAGCCCACCAAGGCGACGAUCUGUAGCUGGUCUGAGAGGACGACCAGCCACACUGGAACUGAGACACGGUCCAGACUCC